GCCUCAAAGAGGGGGACAACAGUUGGAAACGACUGCUAAUACCGCAUACGAUCUAAUCUCGGCAUCGAGGAUAGAUGAAAGGUGGCCUCUAUUUAUAAGCUAUCACUGAAGGAGGGGAUUGCGUCUGAUUAGCUAGUUGGAGGGGUAACGGCCCACCAAGGCGAUGAUCAGUAGCCGGUCUGAGAGGAUGAACGGCCACAUUGGGACUGAGACACGGCCCAG
rnacentral:rRNA from 1 species